GACGUAGGGCGCGAGCGUUGUCCGGAUUUAUUGGGCGUAAAGAGCUCGUAGGCGGCUUGUCGCGUCGUCCGUGAAAACCCACAGCUCAACUGUGGGCUUGCGGUCGAUACGGGCAGGCUAGAGUUCGGUAGGGGAGACUGGAAUUCCUGGUGUAGCGGUGAAAUGCGCAGAUAUCAGGAGGAACACCGGUGGGCGAAGGCGGGUCUCUGGACAGUUCCUGA
rnacentral:rRNA from 1 species